GCUGGGCGUGGUGGUGCACGCCUGUAAUCCCAGUGGCUUGGGAGGCUGAGGCAGGAGGAUUGCAAGUUCAAAGCCAGACUCAGCAACUCAGGGAGAUCCUCCGCAACUUAGCAAGACCGUGCCUCAA
rnacentral:sRNA from 1 species